AUCUUGAAAACGGAAAAUAAAAACAGCAGACCUAUGAAGGUCGAAGGGGAAGAAAAGCUGUAUCGAUUGUUGAGAUCUGGCGACUUGUUUAAAUUUCAUCAGCCUCACUUCUAUGAACUCUCAGAGCUGAUUACCAACUCCUACCACUGUUAACCCUCAUCCAGGAACAAGCUUAUGUCUUUAACAUUCUGAGUGGGCUUCAGCAUCCUUGCAUAUGUUCAAUUCUUAAAAACCUGUUGAAAUAAAAGAUCAGGAGACAUAGGAAGGAUGCCAGAAGAGAGCGUGGCCUCACGUGUACCAGCUCUCUGCUCUCCUUUGCCUUGGGACGUUCCAUCCCUGGAAGUUUCCCUGCCCACAUCUUUGUAGAGAGUCCAUUCUCCAAGCUUCAGUGUGUCAUCUGUGAGGACCGUGACCCACCUGGUACAUCGCCUCAGGGCAUUCAUUUCAGGCUCCUUCUAAAUGGCCAAGGCACCCUUGGAAAUGCAAUGCUACAUCUCAAUGGGAUUUUCCAGUACAAAGAUUCUUUUCAAAUAACAUAAUUGUGGAUACACACCACUCCUACAGUGCUGCACUGAUGAGGAAACUGAAACAGAAAAUCCAGAGUAAAUUCCACCAGGCCACACAGCAAGGUCUGAUAGAGCCAGGAGAGACUUUAUGAAAUCCAGACUCUCACACUAAUGCUCUAUCAGCUAGACCUCCAUGUGAGUCUCCCCAAUGUAGGUAGGAAGUGCUUUCCCUAAAAUGCUCAUAAAGCAAAUCAGAGCAAUGCUGCAUUCCAUGUGAUUUCUAAUUUGAAAUGCAAACAAUUGCCAAUUUGUUUGACUUGUAUUUAUAAUUAUUUCCUUGUGAAUUACUCAUCACUAAAUGCUUUAUAAAUAUUUUCUCUUUUUUUCCUCAAUGUCUAUGGAAUGAUCACAGCAUAGAAAAUGUUGGCUUUCAAGGAUUUAUUAAUAUCUCCUUUUGAAAUAACAUGUAUUUGUAAGACAGAAUAAAAUCACUUUAAAGAAACAAA
rnacentral:lncRNA from 1 species